rnacentral:rRNA from 1 species
UCUGACACAGGUGCUGCAUGGCUGUCGUCAGCUCGGUGUCGUGAGAUGUUGGGUUAAGUCCGUAACGAGCGCAACCCUUGUCCUUAGUUACCAGCACGUUAUGGUGGGCACUCUAAGGAGACUGCCGGUGACAAACCGGAGGAAGGUGGGGAUGACGUCAAGUCAUCAUGGCCCUUACGGCCUGGGCUACACACGUGCUACAAUGGUCGGUACAAAGGGUUGCCAAGCCGCGAGGUGGAGCUAAUCCCAUAAAACCGAUCGUAGUCCGGAUCGCAGUCUGCAACUCGACUGCGUGAAGUCGGAAUCGCUAGUAAUCGUGAAUCAGAAUGUCACGGUGAAUACGUUCCCGGGCCUU